AACGAACGCUGGCGGCAUGCCUAACACAUGCAAGUCGAACGAAGUCUUCGGACUUAGUGGCGCACGGGUGCGUAACGCGUGGGAAUCUGCCCUUGGGUACGGAAUAACUCAGAGAAAUUUGUGCUAAUACCGUAUAAUGUCGUAAGACCAAAGAUUUAUCGCCCAAGGAUGAGCCCGCGUAAGAUUAGCUAGUUGGUAGGGUAAAAGCCUACCAAGGCGACGAUCUUUAGCUGGUCUGAGAGGAUGAUCAGCCACACUGGGACUGAGACACGGCCCAGACUCCUACGGGAGGCAGCAGUGGGGAAUAUUGGACAAUGGCGAAAGCCUGAUCCAGCAAUGCCGCGUGAGUGAUGAAGGCCCUAGGGUUGUAAAGCUCUUUUACCCGGGAUGAUAAUGACAGUACCGGGA
rnacentral:rRNA from 1 species